AUUGAACGCUGGCGGCAUGCUUUACACAUGCAAGUCGAACGGUAACAGCACUUCGGUGGCUGACGAGUGGCGAACGGGUGAGUAAUACAUCGGAACGUGCCUAGUAGUGGGGGAUAACUACUCGAAAGAGUAGCUAAUACCGCAUGAGAUCUAAGGAUGAAAGCAGGGGAUCUUCGGGCCUUGCGCUACUAGAGCGGCUGAUGGCAGAUUAGGUAGUUGGUGGGAUAAAAGCUUACCAAGCCGACGAUCUGUAGCUGGUCUGAGAGGACGACCAGCCACACUGGGACUGAGACACGGCCCAGACUCCUACGGGAGGCAGCAGUGGGGAAUUUUGGACAAUGGGCGCAAGCCUGAUCCAGCAAUGCCGCGUGCAGGAUGAAGGCCUUCGGGUUGUAAACUGCUUUUGUACGGAACGAAAAGCCCUCUUCUAAUACAGGAGGGUCAUGACGGUACCGUAAGAAUAAGCACCGGCUAACUACGUG
rnacentral:rRNA from 1 species